rnacentral:rRNA from 1 species
GAUGAACGCUGGCGGCGUGCCUAAUACAUGCAAGUCGAGCGAACAGAUGAGGAGCUUGCUCCUCUGACGUUAGCGGCGGACGGGUGAGUAACACGUGGAUAACCUACCUAUAAGACUGGGAUAACUUCGGGAAACCGGAGCUAAUACCGGAUAAUAUAUUGAACCGCAUGGUUCAAUAGUGAAAGACGGUUUUGCUGUCACGUAUAGAUGGAUCCGCGCCGCAUUAGCUAGUUGGUAAGGUAACGGCUUACCAAGGCAACGAUGCGUAGCCGACGUGAGGGGGGGCUCGGCCACACUGGAACUGGGACACGCUCCUGACUCCUACGGGAGGCAGCAGUCGGCAAUCUUCCGCAAUGGGCGAAAGCCUGACGGAGCAACGCCGCGUGAGUGAUGACGGUCUUCGGAUCGUAAAACUCUGUUAUUAGGGAAAAACAAAUGUGUAAGUAACUAUGCACGUCUUGACGGUACCUAAUCAGAAAGCCACGGCUAACUACGUG